AAACCUGAAUAAAAAGAGGAGUGAAUGCUUCUGAGGCCUUGAAAACACCUCCUCUGUGUCAGCAGGCACUAGUAGUUUGUUGUUUGGGUUGGGAAUCCAGUGGAGCCAAGGUACCCCAUCAAGGUGUCCUCUUUCCGUGAGACCCAUCUUACCAUGGGAUGCAGACUGAAAGGUCCUGAUGCAUCCCACUGUUCAAAGGCAAGAGGCUUUGCCCCCGAGCUGCCGUUUCCCUUCUCUGCUGGUUGACUUCUGGUGGAGUCCCACGUUGUCCUGAUGUCAGUGAAGGUUCAUGCUAAGCACAACAAAAAGCUAUUGCAAGGUUUCUCCCCCAACACAAGGAGUGAGAAGUUCAUCAAGUUCAGCAAGAGAGUAGAUACUUGCCAGGGAUGUUUUUGGAUAUCUGGGAUGAGGUGAAGUGACUCAACUCAUUUCUCCUACUUGUAGAGUGCUGCUGGAAAACUAGUCCUCAGGUAGUGAUGAUAUCUUUACUGGGGCGUCUGGACUUACCAGAACAUUGGAGGGUAAGUAGGGCAGUAGGUAGCCAGAAGAACGCUGAAAGAUCUUGAUGCUUGUGUCACUGCUAUUAUCAUUAGAAACAACAGUAAUGGAAGGGAAACAACAUGGGAGGGAAACAUACUAAAGAAAGAAUGUAACCAUAAAACUGAAUUUAAAUAGUAUGACCUAAUUUUUCCAUGACUGGUUUCCUCAGUAUCUCUUUAAUUGCUUUCAUGCCCUGUUAAAUAACUGGACGAGAGAGUCCUGUUUAUUUUUUUGGGGCUUGCUCUUUCUCAGACCUGGGUUUCUGGGCACGCACCGCAGCGGCAUAGCUCCUGCCGCCAGUGAUGCUGCAGUGGCUGAGCAUGCACUGGUGAGCUCCGAUGUUUAUAGAACUGUGUCUGUCACAUCUCCAAUUCACAGCACAGUAAGUGCCCAGCAAUUGUAAAGGCUGCCCAUGCCACAGAGCUUUUGUUAAAC